UCUCCGUUGGUGAACCAGCGGAGGGAUCAUUACUGGAAUCGCAAGAUCCCACAACCCUGUGAACCUACCGAAACGUUGCCUCGGCGGGUGCCCGGCCGCUGCGCCGGGCGCUGCGCCCGGCGGCGGCCCCCUACGCUGUCUCUGCAGCGUGGCAUCUCAGAGUCCCAUAAAACAAGUCAAAACUUUCAACAACGGAUCUCUUGGCUCUA
rnacentral:misc_RNA from 1 species